AGUAUAAAGAAGCAGCUACACAAAUGGAGGCAAGAAUGAUUUAAUCAGCUGAUGAACCUGCGGUGAACCAACUAUGCAGUCAUUUUGAAGCCUAGAUGUGCCCAAGAUAACAGAGCUGAGAGAGAAAUUCAAGAACAUCAAGAAAAAUCCUCAAAUCUCAUGUAUUUUCAGAUUUUUCAACGACACCAGGCUAGACCAUAUAGAUUUAUUAUUUUUCUUGCUUUGUGGUUUUGAAGCAAAGUUGGUCGUCAUACCAUGAUGUUUAUUUGGUCAUUGUAAAUAUAAUUCAUGUGCUAUAGACGAAAUCACUUCGUUUGUGUAGAAGGGAAGCUAUAUUGUAUUGAGACUUUGAAAUUAAACAAUGAAAGUGUUGUGAUACUCUAAUUUAGUAAACCGGUUGUUAUAAUA